rnacentral:snRNA from 1 species
GGAUGUGAAGGUGAUCUGGCUGCCACAUAGGUUACCCAGUUAAUUACUGGGGCUGAUUCAGCUGAUCUGGCUGGCUCGGCAGGUGUCCCCUGUCCACCACCACUUCACGUGUGACCCUUAUGAAAACUGCACUUGGUAGAAGAGUAUAGCCUUCCCCAUUGAGUGAUAGAGGGGACCACUCAGUCGAAGUGUACUACUAGUUGUGCCCCUCUACCGGAGCCUCCAAACAAGCUCUCAGAGAUAAAGAGCUUUUCUUUUCAAUGCCAAAGACAUGUGACUCCCCACAUGGAUUCCUUCCUUUGUG